GACGAACGCUGGCGGCGUGUCUAAUACAUGCAAGUCGAGCGAGCGGAACCAACAGAUUUACUUCGGUAAUGACGUUGGGAAAGCGAGCGGCGGAUGGGUGAGUAACACGUGGGGAACCUGCCCCUAAGUCUGGGAUACCAUUUGGAAACAGGUGCUAAUACCGGAUAAUAAAGCAGAUCGCAUGAUCAGCUUUUGAAAGGCGGCGUAAGCUGUCGCUAAGGGAUGGCCCCGCGGUGCAUUAGCUAGUUGGUAAGGUAACGGCUUACCAAGGCGACGAUGCAUAGCCGAGUUGAGAGACUGAUCGGCCACAUUGGGACUGAGACACGGCCCAAACUCCUACGGGAGGCAGCAGUAGGGAAUCUUCCACAAUGGACGCAAGUCUGAUGGAGCAACGCCGCGUGAGUGAAGAAGGUUUUCGGAUCGUAAAGCUCUGUUGUUGGUGAAGAAGGAUAGAGGUAGUAACUGGCCUUUAUUUGACGGUAAUCAACCAGAAAGUCACGGCUAACUACGUGCCAGCAGCCGCGGUAAUACGUAGGUGGCAAGCGUUGUCCGGAUUUAUUGGGCGUAAAGCGAGCGCAGGCGGAAAAAUAAGUCUAAUGUGAAAGCCCUCGGCUUAACCGAGGAACUGCAUCGGAAACUGUUUUUCUUGAGUGCAGAAGAGGAGAGUGGAACUCCAUGUGUAGCGGUGGAAUGCGUAGAUAUAUGGAAGAACACCAGUGGCGAAGGCGGCUCUCUGGUCUGCAACUGACGCUGAGGCUCGAAAGCAUGGGUAGCGAACAGG
rnacentral:rRNA from 1 species